UCUUUAGCUGAUGCAUCACGCGGGAUGCGACGACGGCCCAUGAAGUUCCAAAGGUUCUUCGUGGAUCCGGGCUGUGGACCCAGGAGGUGAUUGAAGGUCUUGUCCAUGCCCCAGCUCUCGAACUCAAGGGCUCCUUGCACGUUCCUUUGCCCGCGUCUUCGAGAUUACGGCGCCGAGACACCCUCGCGCUAUGUCCAGCCGACGCGCCCUGGAGCCAAGGCCACUCAGCGAGCCUGAAAGCGGUCGCCCAGACCGGCCGCCACGCCACAUUCUCGUUCCACGCAAAGCACCCCCUUCAUCACUCACCUUCUCCGGGUACAGAAAAGCAGCCUUGCUCAUGGACCAGAUGGCGAUCAUUCUCAGGU